GAACAUCAACAAUCAAAUUGGAGAUUUCAAUAGAGUACUCGACCAUGGAAAGCUUGUAUGAUUGUUAGAGAAUCACCCUCCAAACAAACUUGGAAAUUGUCAGAAGAAUAGCUUCUUGGCAUGAUAAUGCUUUUGCCACUAAAGGGAUCUGUAAUAGCUGGAAGAUGUUUAGUCGACCAAGCAAACGGGGUAACUCAAAGCAUCGCUGGCAAUAACAGCUAUCGCUCCUAUACCAGCUUUAAGAGAAAUAGCAGCAUCAAAAUUUACUUUAAUAACAUUUUCUGGCAGAGGAAUCUAAUUCUGAAUCGAAGGCAGUGUCUAUCAUCAAAAUAAUAUCUUCUCGUGGAGGAAUCCAAUUCUGAAUCGGGGGCGGUAUGUCAUGUAAUAAGAUUAGGAAGAGAGGCUGAGUUGAAAUUUUCAAAGUGGCUCAUUGCUGAAUCUACUACUUGUUGGAAGGUGGAAGUUUGAUUUCGGAAGACAAAAGCAUUCCUUGA
rnacentral:misc_RNA from 1 species